GAUUUUUAUGGAAUUCUUUCCGUCGGAAGAGAGGAUUAGGAUACGAAGAUUGGGGACGAACGAGGGCUGGAAUUGAGGGACUUUGAAUAGGGCUCGUUCAAAUGAAGAAAUGCAUACGAGGAACGACGGAAGAGGAAACAGGUCAGGGGUAUUUUGGUCUCCUUUUGAGAUUUGAUAUGUCUUUGGACCGCUUAUUAAAUGCACAGUCAACAGGGACUAUUCAUUAUACAGGGGUCAAAAUUUGGACCGCGAAGCAAAUUCCCCUUUUAUUAAUUUCAUGUAAGAUGAUAGGAGUAGGCCAUUGGUACUCACGUGCAGAGAUAAUCAAGAUUCUUUUUCCAUAGCGUUUGUUUAUAUCAUAGUCACAUGCUCAAUAGAAGAGUCCAUUUUUGCCAUUAAAAAAAGUUACAAAAGUAAAAACAAGUUACACCACCUGCAAUGCAUCCU
rnacentral:lncRNA from 1 species